GAUGAACGCUGGCGGCGUGCUUAACACAUGCAAGUCGAACGGAAAGGCCACAGCUUGCUGUGGUACUCGAGUGGCGAACGGGUGAGUAACAUGUGGGUGAUCUGCCCUGUACUUCGGGAUAAGCUUGGGAAACUGGGUCUAAUACCGGAUAGGAAUCACAUGUGGGUGUGUGGUUGGAAAGCUUUUGCGGUAUGGGAUGAGCUCGCGGCCUAUCAGCUUGUUGGUGGGGUAAUGGCCUACCAAGGCGUCGACGGGUAGCCGGCCUGAGAGGGUGUACGGCCACAUUGGGACUGAGAUACGGCCCAGACUCCUACGGGAGGCAGCAGUGGGGAAUAUUGCACAAUGGGCGCAAGCCUGAUGCAGCGACGCCGCGUGGGGGAUGACGGCCUUCGGGUUGUAAACUCCUUUCGUCAGGGACGAAGCGAAAGUGACGGUACCUGGAUAAGAAGCACCGGCUAACUACGUG
rnacentral:rRNA from 1 species